GUGGGGAAUCUUGCGCAAUGGGCGAAAGCCUGACGCAGCCAUGCCGCGUGAAUGAUGAAGGUCUUAGGAUUGUAAAAUUCUUUCACCGGGGACGAUAAUGACGGUACCCGGAGAAGAAGCCCCGGCUAACUUCGUGCCAGCAGCCGCGGUAAUACGAAGGGGGCUAGCGUUGCUCGGAAUUACUGGGCGUAAAGGGCGCGUAGGCGGACAGUUUAGUCAGAGGUGAAAGCCCAGGGCUCAACCUUGGAAUUGCCUUUGAUACUGGCUGUCUUGAGUACGGGAGAGGUGAGAGGAACUCCGAGUGUAGAGGUGAAAUUCGUAGAUAUUCGGAAGAACACCAGUGGCGAAGGCGACUCACUGGCCCGUUACUGACGCUGAGGCGCGAAAGCGUGGGGAGCAAACAGGAUUAGAUACCCGUGUAGUCC
rnacentral:rRNA from 1 species